rnacentral:rRNA from 1 species
AAUAGAUACCCGGGUAGUCCACGCUAUAAACUAUGGAUGCUAGCCGUCGGCAAGCUUGCUUGUCGGUGGCGCAGCUAACGCAUUAAGCAUCCCGCCUGGGGAGUACGGCCGCAAGGUCAAAACUCAAAGGAAUUGACGGGGGCCCGCACAAGCGGUGGAGCAUGUGGUUUAAUUCGACGCAACGCGAAGAACCUUACCAGCUCUUGACAUUCACUGAUCGCCUGGAGAGAUCCGGGAGUCCUAGCAAUAGGCAGUGGGACAGGUGCUGCAUGGCUGUCGUCAGCUCGUGUCGUGAGAUGUUGGGUUAAGUCCCGCAACGAGCGCAACCCUCGCCAUCAGUUGCCAUCAUUAAGUUGGGCACUCUGGUGGGACUGCCGGUGAUAAGCCGGAGGAAGGUGGGGAUGACGUCAAAUCAUCAUGGCCCUUACGGGCUGGGCUACACACGUGCUACAAUGGCGGUGACAAUGCGCAGCCACCUAGCAAUAGGGAGCUAAUCGCAAAAACG